ACUUGUACUCUUUCUUGUUUACCCGCUUCUCUUCUUCGUCCUUACUCUCAACCAACUUAGCAUACGCCCCUUUCUUGGUCUCCACUUUCUUCUUAACCUCUUCAUUCCACCACCAAUCCCCCCGAUGAUGACCGGCCCGCCCCCCACACAGACCCAACACCUCACUAGUAUUCUCCCUGAUGCACCUAGCCACCCUAUCCCACAUACUAUCCACGUCCCCCUACACUCCCACACCCCCAUUCCCGCCAAAUUCUCCCUUAUUUCCCACGCAUUCACUGUCGUCAAGCCGCCCCACUUAAUUCUAGGUCUACACUCCUCACCCCUUCUCUUCCUAUCCUUCCUUAUACCCAAAUCCAUAACCAAGAGCCUAUGCUGGGUCGAAAGAUUCUCACUCGGGAUGACCUUACAGUCCUUACACAACACCCCAUCCCCUUUCCUAAGCAACAAAAAGUCAAUCU
rnacentral:lncRNA from 1 species